CCUCAGCUGAUUUCGCCCACCGUCCGCCCGAUGCUCCACACUUUGCCGUAACUCAAUCUGCCGGUUCUCCGCUUGAGGUACGUACUGAAGCUAACCUUGCAAGAGGAAGGCAUGGGAGGCAUGAUUGUUGCUGAAGCGGAACUCAUAAAUGUCUCACGUCAUGUGGUUCUGUGCUAUUCUUAAUCUUCUUCUCUGAAGUGUGUAGUUUCAGUUUCACAUCAAAUGUGUUGCGCUUGCAGUGCGUACCAAUGUACAGUUUACCAAUGUGUAUAUAUGCGGAGUCGAUGGAAAACAUUGAAGCCAGUAGUUGUAUACCUAUUUCAAAAAUCAGCAAGUGGUUAGUAACAUUCUACAUAAAGGUAUUACAGAGAGAUAGGAGUAUCUCCUAUUUUAUUUUUGUGGGAUUGGGAGCAAUUUAGAAACUUAUGAAAAUAUAGGAAUCAUUCUCACUUUAAUCUCCAGUCCUCUUGUUUUGCUUCAUUUAUCAUGCAUUAUGCAUGUCAUAUGUUCCCACAAAUGCCUGGCAGAAGCACAACUUUCAUAGGGAACGUAGAAUGGUCACUUUGGUAGCAGGGCAGAUGCACGUUCCCAGUGUAUAUGUAAAAUUAUAUGCAUAUCUAGCCAUAGAAAUACAUGCAUCUGAACCGCAUCGGACAUAGUGUCGGACUGUCAGCCUAAAAUAUUCCUCUUUAUAUCGUUCUCCAUUUCUGUAAAUAUGCAAAUAUAAGUGCCAUGUAUGUGCUUGUGGAACUUUUGCUGUAAAAUUUCACGCUUCUUUACAAAAAGUAGGUUGAAGAAAGUUUUGAUUUUUCUUGGAUAGGUUAUCAUAUGACAGAACGUCUGGGGUGAAAGCUAAGCUACUUCCAAUGGUAAGAAUUGAAAUCUGGAUGAAACCUCCAUUAUUUGUUUUAUAUAUUUUUAGAUACAUGAGAGAACUAAUGAUAUUUUUAGACUGUAGAACAACCCUUUCAAGGAUUCUCUCUCUAUGAGCAUAUAUAUUGCCUCAGCUUAUAUCCAUUGCCGCACGCAUGGGCGUGUCAGUAGCAUUACUUUGAUAAUAUGUCUAUAUCACUGUAAUGUUGGAUAUAAGUUCUGCUACAUCCAAACAAGCUUAUCUGAUUUCCAAGAAGAGUAAAAAACAAUCUUUAGUAAUUUCCUGGAUUUUGCUUAUAUCACUGUAAUGUUGGAUAAUAAGUUCUUAAUACAUUUGGAGCAUCUACUCUCUGGUAAGGAGUCAUGAGGAAGACUAUAUUUUUAGUUGACAUUGUAAAUGAUUUUAAUGGCCACGAUUUUUUUUCUUGUUUCUUUUCAGGUCCCAAAUGAGAAGGCAAGAAGGUAUCAGCUGUAUGAGAAGACCCCCGCCCAUGCCCAUUCCAUUCUCUAUGAAGUCAAAAGUUUCCCACUGAAUAUAUUUGGUACUAAAACGGUCGUUAUGUCAGCACCACGAUCGUGUGCCUAUUGUUGGCUCUUAAUUCUUUAGGAUUAUUUGAUUUGUUUGAUUCAUUCUGUUCAUAUUUAUGCAGCAACAAAAUACAUUCAAGAUCAGGGUGUGUGAGGGUUAAACAUGUUAAUUUAUGUGGCAUCAAGCUAUGUAUGUUGAUAGCAUGAUCUCCUUUUCUUUUGCUUUG
rnacentral:lncRNA from 1 species